CAAAACACAUCUGUCAGCAGAAACCGCAACAGUAAAGAUAAGGGAGAAAAGCAGCCUGCCUGGGAACAACGAUGAGACCCAAUAGGGAGCAGGAGACCCCAGACCCAAAAAUUAUUAUUGGUCUGAACUACCGCGUGAGGGGUGGGAAACUUAAUUUGAAAAAGCUAUAAUUGCCCAGGGAUUUCUUUGUUUGGGGUCCCUCUUUGGAGGCACCCAACUCGAGCUGUAACUACUGCACGCGUGUCAUUAGAAUUUAUUUAUUUAAUUUGCCUUGAUUUGGCUCCGAACUUUUCAGCGGGAACCUAGGGUCGGACCCUGCUCGAGUUGUAAUUACUGCACGCGCAUCGCUAAAAUUUACACCCAGGGUGAAGAGGACCAACGGGACACCGCUGGAUCCAAGGGUAUCAAAUGAACAAUGGAAAACGCUACAGAACAUAAAGUGGAGGGAAGAAUAACUCAAGUAUGUCAGAGAGAGAGAACCAGACUAAGUCACCGACAUCAAAAGAAAGAAACUUCUGUGGGAAGAAGACCCACUGCCCAUGACUAAGCAGGAGUCAACUUCUUCUGGAAGUGUCUGCCAGACCCCUCAUCCCCGUUUCACCACACACCUUAACAUUUCCCAGGACUUCAGUGAGUCUGCAGAUAGAGUGGAACUUCAGCAAGUCUACAAAUGGAAUAUAAACCUCAAACAGGAGAUGCUUUUGGAUCUGGAUUUUGUUAAUAUUUUCCUGACAGCCAACCUAUAUCAGGAAUCUUCCUCUAAGAGGAAAAAGCUAGCAUUACUAUAUGCAUUGUUUGUAUUCAUGUUUUAGCUUGAAUCUGCAAUAUCUGCAUUUCUCCCCUGAGUUACACUGAAAAUAUGAUUUCAAUAUGCCCCCCAUCCAUUGAUUUCACCAGUGAGGUCAUUGUUACAGCUACAGAUUUAGAACAUCAGCAAAUGUCUAUAAAAUGCUACCAACGGCUGGAGCAGAUGCAUGGAAUGAGCUUCUGCGGAUUGCUUGAGGAAACCUUGCAAAAUCUUUCUUUGUUGACUAAAACCAUGUUUGCUGCAUAGCUAAUUUUUUUCACUGUCUUACAUUCAGUUAAAGACAGUGAUUUGGACUGACACUAGUCAUAACUUUUCAUGCUUCAUGGCAGCCCCCACCUAAGCUAUUAAUUUACCACCUGCUUCAGCUCCUGAAGAAAUGAGCUGUCAACAAUUUUUCUUAAGCGCUAACCAAGAGUGCACUGAAACAAAAGAAGGUCUUAGUGGAAUGAAAAAUGUACAAUAUCCCAAAGAAUUUAAUCUAUUUCUCACUGUUCAUAUAGACUGAAAAAGUUGAUUCUUGAGAAUAUUUAGCAAACUUCUGAACCUAAUUUUAGUCUAGUCUUCCACUACCAGUAUUUGCUUUGCAUGUUUGAAACUCAUAUUUUGUAAUAUUACAGUAGCUGGGCUAAAUAUGACACUAGAACGGGGCUGCUAGUGAUUGCAAUUCCUUUGGAUUUUUAUUGCCAUAACAGGGAUCAAGAUCGGAUUCAAGAUACGAUCCUGAACAGAAAUGCUUGGUUGGCAAACAUAGACUUUCCAAAAUCUCUGAAUCAGAAAUCCGUCUGCUGUCUUUCAUACAUGAAAGAGUGUUAAAGAAAAAAAAAAGAAAAAAAAAAAAAACCUCUUCCAUCGUAGAAGAUAAAAUCUGGGGCUAGAUGUUUAGUUUAACAUAUCAGUACACAUUUUCUAGUUAUAUUUUUGCUAAGUAUUUGUGUGAGUAAAGUUGUGGCACUAUACCUUGAGUCUUCUGCGUAGGAACACAGAAGUAGGUAGCCACUGAAUGCUCAAAGCUUUUUCCUGGGGGAGUUUGAAGUUAGAUUCACCUCUGACUCAUUUAAUUAUACUUUAUAUGGCUCUGAAUCCAGUUCAGGAAGUUGGUAGGAUGGCCGUAACAUCCCAUAUAAAACUAUAUGUUUUAAGGGAUUUUCUAGGAGGAUUAAAUCUUGGUACUUGGUUCAUUCCAUGUCAUGAAGAAUUCACACACAGAUCUGUGCGAAGAGGCUCCUUGUUCUGACCAGCUCUGUGAUCAGGAUGAGCUGGAGCUUUUUUGUGCUAAGCUAUCACUCACUGUUACUACUUCUCCCUUUUUAUAUUUCCUGCUGAUCACCAAUUUUCGUCUUUCUGAACUGCUUCUGCCGUGCUAUAGAGUCUAGAGAUUCUGUGAACAUUUACAGAAGAAAGCCUUUCUUCAGCGUCUCAUCUACGCUUUUCUGGGUGCUUUAGAUAGAAUCCUACUUAAAUGAAUAUUCCCGAUUUUCAUAAUUGGACAUAACUAGGAUUCUCCUUCACAAGUCUAUUCACUAGGCAGUUGCAGAAACCACAGGUGAACAGGAUAGACACCUGAUGCUCAGCAGAUGUUAGUAAUUUUAGAGUAUUGCGAGGUAAGCAGAAUUUCCAGAUGCUCUGCACUUCUCGGGGAGAGUUGCCAUAGCACUGAAACUCCUUUUUCCGUAGGGAAGCAAUAGGAAAUCAUUCUGCAGAAGUGAUCAGCUAAUUCUAUGCAACUUUACAUCCUUAAUUUAGGAUCUUAUUUCUCUAUCACUACUUCUUAAUCUGUGCUAAGCAUAGGUACUUCAGCCUGUCUAUAAUCUGCAACAUCUGUAAUUUGCUUAAUCCUUUUCACUGCGUAUAAGGAGACCAAAGUCAUUAAAGGUGCAUAGAUCAAAUACCUAAAUCUGGGUGUCACAAAUCUCUUCCCCCCUCCCAAAUUCUUUAAGUAUUCAAGCCAUCAAUCUGCUGAGAAAGCAACUAAGUAUAAUGUUUAAAUCUUCUUGUUUAAAAUGUAACUCAAUUGUACAUUUAAAGUUAAGCUCCUGACCGAAAAAGGCUGAGGAGAAAAAAAAGUUAAAAUGCUUUGUUGCAUUGUGACCUUAUUCUUUCACUGAUGUGCCCAAGGUUGUAUCAUCUGUAAUAAAAUCUCUUUGUUGAUUUUUCAGAGCAACUAGUUUAAGAAGGAGAAAAGUAUCAUUCAUUAUUUUUAUGGGAGUUUAUGGGUGCUUUUCAUAGACUUAGGGUAUAUACUUUGUUGUGUAGUAAAACAGGAACAUGGAGAAAAAAAAUAGCAAAACAUAGUUUUGCUGUUUCAUCCGAAGUCCCAUGGCUCCAACAGCUUUCAGCAUCUCUAUUAUGAGUGAAUUUCAUGUAACCUUUCCAGGUGGGCUUUACUCGGUAAUUGCAUUUUGUGUUGCACAAAGAGAACACAUGCAUUUUUAUUCUACUAUGCUGUAACUCAGCUACCCCAUGAUAACAUUAAAUAAUAUUAUACUAUUAUCAAAUCAGUAAUGCCUAGAACCUCAAAUUAGCUUGGAGCCAGACUGGGCCAAGUAAUAGCCUGAUAUACACUGAGGUGCAUGUUCCUGACCUAGUGCUUAUUUACACUUGAAAUAGAAAAGAGUUAGAGAUGAGAAGAAAAGGCUGUCACACAAAGGUUUGUGUCAUCUCGUUACCUGGGCAUGUGCAGGCAAAACUUUGAUUACAAAAUAACUUGAACCCUCCUGAAACAGGGAAGGCAGGUGAUGAGCACCCAGCGAAAGACAGGGGCUCGAGAAAGGGCUGAGGGUCAGAGGACAUGAACUCUUCCUGCAUUCCCAGCGCGCUUAUAAACUGCUAAUGCAGUCCUGGUUGUUUACCUAAGGGAAUGCCAUACAGAAGAGAGCAGAUAAUCACAUUUCUGAGAAGAAUGUGAUUGAGACUAGAAGUGUGGGAUUCUCGUGGCCACAUUGAGAACGAAAAUUUAUAGAACUGGAGAAGGUGAAAAAGGACAAAGUAUCUGAGGGUGGGAGAAAACUUCACAUGGUGAAAACCUUAAGAGCUUAAGCUAUAUAGUUUAUCAAACAUAAUGCUGAACAGUGAUUUGUACACUGUUAAGGUAAUUUCCAUUAAUGCAGUACCAUUUUUUUCUUUUUAAUCUAGAGAAAGAGUGAGGCAUAAUGACAACCAAUUUCUGGCCCCUGAAGCUAGGCAAACCCAAUUUUAGAGGGGUGCUUAGUCAGAGCCAGCGCGGAGGAGGUCAUCGAAGCGUGGGGUCAGAAGCACACGAAAGGAGCAGCUAGUCACAGGGCAGAGAAAUUAUCCUCCUUUAGGUGGGAGUGAGCCAUUAGAGUAGAUGAGCCAUAACGCAUGGCUGGGCCUUUGCAUCCUGGUAAUUAAUGAGCCCAGAUUCCACCCAAUUUUUAUAAAACUGAACCUUCUGCGGUUUCACAACUACUUAUCUCCUGCUUUUGCCAAGGUCAUCAAAAAUUUCUUGCAGAACAACAGACUAAUCCAAAGUUUCUUCAAAUCAAGUGUUAUGCAAUUAAGAGGUGAUUUUGAACAGUUAAUUAAAUAUCUUG